rnacentral:rRNA from 1 species
AUUGAACGCUGGCGGCCGGCCUAACACAUGCAAGUCGAGCGGAGCGGCGGACGGAUGAGUAAUGCAUAGGAAUAUGCCUGGUAGUGGGGGAUAACGUACGGAAACGGGAGCUAAUACCGCAUACUAUCAGCAGCAGCUAGGGCGGAUUAGCUAGUUGGUGGGGGAAAGGCAUACAAAGGCGACGAUCCGUAACUGGUCUGAGAGGAUGAUCAGUCACACUGGAACUGAGACACGGUCCAGACUCCUACGGGAGGCAGCAGGGGGGAAUAUUGGACAAUUGGCGAAAGCCUGAUCCAGCCAUGCCGCGUGUGUGAAGAAGGUCUUCGGAUUGUAAAGCACUUUAAGUUGGGAGGCGUUACCAACAGAAUAAGCACCGGCUAACUUCGUGCCAGCCGCCGCGGUAAUAC